UGCCACGUUGAGGGUGCCCUGUGGAGAGGCCACAUAACAAGGGACUGAGGACGGCCUCCAGCUGAAGGCCAGCGGGGAGCUGAGGCCCUCAAAGCAUUGAUUUCUACCCGGAGCCCACUUGUGGGCUUGGAAGCACAUCCUUCCCCGGCGGAGCCUUCGGGUGAGACCUCAGCCCUGGCAGACACCUGACGGCAGCCUGUGCCAGACCCCGAGCCGGAGGGCUCAGCUAAGCCAUGUCAGACUCAUGAACUUGAGUUGUUUUAAGCUGUGAAGUUUGGGGGUCAUUUGUUACGCAGUGAAGGAUAACUACUACACACACCUACCCCCUACUCUCUUCCAGCUGCAGAGUGAUUGUCGCACCCCUUCUCUGCUCACAGCCACCUAGUGUCUCCCCGUCCCACUCCACACAAACGCCAGAGCAGAACCCAACCAGCCCCGACUAACAGAAAACGACACCUAGAAACGGUACUGACCAGGAGAUGGACACCCUGACUACGUGGCUUCAGUAGUGGAGCCGGGCGGAAAGCUCCGGGUCACACAGUGUGAGAGACUUGGUAGGGCCAGACUGGAGUGACUCGGAAAUCAGAUCAUGAACCUAACGAAACUGCGGCUCUUGGGAAAGAGGCUAAAAAAUAGGAUGUGAGCGGGAUGUGGGAAUAGCUGUCGGCUGCAUUUGGCAAGAUUGUAAGAAAGAAUCAAACUCAGACGAGAAUCGCCCAGCCUGGAGCAGGAAUGAAAGCGAAAAGAGAGAUUCCAGAAUAUUCUGCUCCCACAGGGCUGGAAAAGAGGACUGAAUUUUCAGACCCCAAAUUAAGCUUGAUUAAAAUGCAGACUUGACAAGGGUCAGAUUAGAGGCACAGAGUCAAAAUCCCCCCUGGUUACAGGCCUCUCAGGUGCAGAUCAAAGCAGGUGUGGGAUUCCCACUUGGACGUGGUGGGGUGGGGAGAUGUGGCCAGUGGUGGACAGGGUGUUGGUGCAGGAGUCAUGGGUGUGGCUGUCAGCACCAGAGCGACCAGAGUCGGAAGCGAGCAGCCUGCUGAGUUCUGAGACAGUUGUGAUGACAAGACAGGUGGCUCAGACGGAGAGAUAAUGUGUAGGUUGACCCCUAACUGCCUGCGACCAGAGAACGGCUGAGAAAACUCCCGUCCCAAGGAGGCAUUUUCCCCAAUUCCCAUUUUGUAUUGUCCAAGAGGACAACAGGAAAGUCAGAAAGUUCUCCGAAGGCAGAGCCAGGGGCCUUGGAGGACAACGCACACUGGGCUGCGCCGGGCAGGAUCCGAAUCUGGGCAUCGGGAAGAAACACGCACCAUUGCGGGGUGGGGUGGGGCUCAGGAUGUCACCCAGAGGAUCCCGUCUUCUACAGGCCAGCAGCUGCUGCAUCUCCCCUCUUCCCGCAUCUACUGAGGUUGUCCUGUCUCUGUUCCGCUGCCCAUUGGACACGGAGCCUGUGGGAGGAAACGAUUUAUCUUCUUAGUUGGUGGGUCUUCAGAGGCAGAGGUGCCCCAUGUGGACCUGGUACAGACCCCCUGGGUGUCACUCAGAGGUCCUGGCUUUAUGGGGCUGGAAUUUGGGGUCCUCUUGCUUGCGGAGACAAGAGGGAGAGCGAGCAGAAUUAACGGGUCUGGAGGGCAGACCACAGAGGUCGUUGGAGCUGCUCACAGAUCGCUCGCCUCCCUUCCAGACCUGUGGGAGGCCUAUGCUUCCUGCUCCUUGAAAUCAGGCUGCCUGUGACCUGCUUUGGCAAAGAAACUUGAGCCUAUAAAGUCUCCCGUCAUGCCUCCCUUUGGCCAAAUCCAACCAACCCAGAAGGCAAGGGAUCCCUUUGCUGUGUAGCACAGAGAUCCCAGAUUCUUUUCAGGUCUGCAAUGUACCUGGCUGAAAGACCACAUUUCCCAGCUUUCCUCAGAGAUGGCGGUGGCCCACGUAGAAGUCCUUGAGCCAUUGAGUGUGACUUCCAAAGACGUUCUUUAAAGGUAGCUGACUCAACUAGGAGAGAUGUCCUCUUGUCCUUCCCUCUUCCUCUUUCUUCCUGCCUGGAAUACAGACAUGAUGGCUAGAGCUCUGGCAGCCAUCUUGGAUCACAGGCAAACUUGAGGAUGGAAGCCACAUGCUAAGGUUGAGGGAACAGAAAGAGCAGGAACCCGGGACACAAGACGUCUCGAGCUGCUGUGCGGACCUCAGAUGGCCUACCUCCAGACCUCUUUCACUUAGGCGAAAGAUAAACCCUCACUUGUUUAAGCCACUUGUUUGGAUUUUCUGUGAUAAACAUCUCGAGUUAAUCCUGA